CUUUCACGUAGUCAACCUGCCCUGGAGACAUGGAAAACCCCUGGAAACUGGGAUUAAUCCGUGAUAGGUCAUCUCAUCUGGAAGGAGAGAUGGCUUAAAGGGGUGCGAGAGCUUCUUUCUUGCAUUCGCUCCAGGAUGGGACUGCGGCCGAUCAGGCUGUUGGCGGUGUAAUGGACCACCAAACCUGUAACCGGUACGGGCCUUGAGAGAGGGGGCCCGGAGAUGGACACUGAGAGAAGGGUCCAGGUCCUACGGGGCGCAGCAGGCGCGAAACCUUCGCAAUGCGCGAAAGCGUGACGAGGUUAAUCCGAGUGGUCCCCGCUGAGGGGAUCUUUUGUUGGCUGUAAAAAGGCCGAUGAAUAAGGGGAGGGCAAGUCUGGUGUCAGCCGCCGCGGUAAUACCAGCUCCUCGAGUGGUCGGGGCGAUUAUUGGGCCUAAAGCAUCCGUAGCCGGUUCUGUAGGUCCUCUGUCAAAUCCAACGGCUUAACCGUUGGCCCGCAGAGGAUACCGCAGGACUAGGAGGCGGGAGAGGUGGACGGUACUCGACGUGUAGGGGUAAAAUCCUUUGAUCCGUCGAAGA
rnacentral:rRNA from 1 species